AUGCUUACCUGCAGAGGAAAUACCAUGAUCAGGAAGGUGGUUUUCCCAGAGCGAGGCUCAUCCAUUGCACUCUGGAUGUGCUGACCCCUGCAAUUUCCCCAAAUACAGGAAACUUGACUGCAUAAUUUGUGGUAGUGGGGGACUGCAUUCAUGCGCUCCCCUG